CAAUAGCGUAUAUUAAAGUUGUUGCAGUUAAAAAGCUCGUAGUUGGAUUUCUGGUGGGAGCGAUCGGUCUGGCGCUUAGCGCGAGUACUUGCAUCGUCUCCGGCCAUCCUUGGGGAGAGUCUGUCUGGCAUUAGGUUGUCGGGCAGAGGAUCCUCAUCGUUUACUGUGAAAAAAUUAGAGUGUUCAAAGCAGGCUUAUGCCGUUGAAUAUAUUAGCAUGGAACAAUAAGAUAGGACUUUGGUACUAUUUUGUUGGUUUGCGCACCAAAGUAAUGAUUAAUAGGGACAGUUGGGGGUAUUCGUAUUCCGUUGUCAGAGGUGAAAUUCUUGGAUUUACGGAAGACGAACUACUGCGAAAGCAUUUACCAAGGAUGUUUUCAUUAA
rnacentral:rRNA from 1 species